AGUAUUCCGAAAUAGUACGAUAACUGCAAUUCUUUGGUGUCAUAUUGUUUUGCUUUUUUAUAUCAUUACCAAACCGAGCAUAAAAGACAGGAGCAGAAACCUAUUUAUUUAUGAAAAUAAAUAUGAAAGAGGUACGUGGUAAUGAAGAAAACAUGCCAAACAUGAGGCUACAGCUUCAUGUCUUCUUAAUAAAUGUGUUCUUCUAAUUGUUGUUGUCCGUCCAGAAUUGUUUCUGAAGAUAGUCGACUAACUUCUUGUCCACUUGGAAGGCCUUGGUUAGAACAUUAGGAUUAAUGGGUGGAUCUGCUCCAAACACGGCAUUUGCAAUUGUAAUCACACCAGGGUUCUGGCUGCUUAAACUGGCGAAUGCAACGGCAUUGGUUUUUCCCACAUUGAGCUGGAAAUGAACGAGUCCGACUGGGAACACAAAAACAUCUCCAGGAUUUAAGACCUUGGUGAUUAGGCGAUUAUCUCCGUUAGGUAAGUUCGAUGUAACAAAACCGACAUAGAGGGUACCCUCCACGACUACUAGGAUCUCAGUGG